rnacentral:rRNA from 1 species
GUCUACGGCCAUGCCACCCUGAACAAGCCCGAUCCUGUCUGAUCUCGAAAGUUAAGCAGGGUCAGGCCUGGUUAGUACUUGGAUGAGAGACCACCUAGGAAGACCAGGUGCUGUAGGUG